CCAUGGUUGACGAUAUAUACAAUUAUUGUACU
rnacentral:sRNA from 1 species